UGGGGAAUAUUGCACAAUGGGCGCAAGCCUGAUGCAGCGACGCCGCGUGGGGGAUGACGGCCUUCGGGUUGUAAACUCCUUUCGCUAGGGACGAAGCUUUUUGUGACGGUACCUAGAUAAGAAGCACCGGCUAACUACGUGCCAGUAGCCGCGGUAAUACGUAGGGUGCGAGCGUUGUCCGGAAUUACUGGGCGUAAAGGGCUCGUAGGUGGUUUGUCGCGUCGUCUGUGAAAUUCCGGGGCUUAACUCCGGGCGUGCAGGCGAUACGGGCAUAACUUGAGUACUGUAGGGGUAACUGGAAUUCCUGGUGUAGCGGUGAAAUGCGCAGAUAUCAGGAGGAACACCGAUGGCGAAGGCAGGUUACUGGGCAGUUACUGACGCUGAGGAGCGAAAGCAUGGGUAGCGAACAGG
rnacentral:rRNA from 1 species